rnacentral:rRNA from 1 species
UACGGAGGGUGCAAGCGUUAAUCGGAAUACUGGGCGUAAAGCGUGCGCAGGCGGUUUUGUAAGUCUGUCGUGAAAUCCCCGGGCUCAACCUGGGAAUGGCGAUGGAGACUGCAAGGCUAGAGUUUGGCAGAGGGGGGUAGAAUUCCACGUGUAGCAGUGGAAAUGCGUAGAUAUGUGGAGGAACACCGAUGGCGAAGGCAGCCCCCUGGGUCAAAACUGACGCUCAUGCACGAAAGCGUGGGGAGCAAACAGG